GCUUGCUGGGUGGAUUAGUGGCGAACGGGUGCCCUUUUAGUGAGUAACCUGCCCCUGACUCUGGGAUAAGCGUUGGCAUCGACGUCUAAUACUGGAUAUGAUCACUGGCCGCAUGGUCUGGUGGUGGAAAGAUUUUUUGGUUGGGGAUGGACUCGCGGCCUAUCAGCUUGUUGGUGAGGUAAUGGCUCACCAAGGCGACGACGGGUAGCCGGCCUGAGAGGGUGACCGGCCACACUGGGACUGAGACACGGCCCAGACUCCUACGGGAGGCAGCAGUGGGGAAUAUUGCACAAUGGGCGAAAGCCUGAUGCAGCAACGCCGCGUGAGGGAUGACGGCCUUCGGGUUGUAAACCUCUUUUAGUAGGGAAGAAGCGAAAGUGACGGUACCUGCAGAAAAAGCACCGGCUAACUACGUGCCAGCAGCCGCGGUAAUACGUAGGGUGCAAGCGUUGUCCGGAAUUAUUGGGCGUAAAGAGCUCGUAGGCGGUUUGUCGCGUCUGCUGUGAAAUCCCGAGGCUCAACCUCGGGCUUGCAGUGGGUACGGGCAGACUAGAGUGCGGUAGGGGAGAUUGGAAUUCCUGGUGUAGCGGUGGAAUGCGCAGAUAUCAGGAGGAACACCGAUGGCGAAGGCAGAUCUCUGGGCCGUAACUGACGCUGAGGAGCGAAAGCAUGGGGAGCGAACAGGAUUAGAUACCCUGGUAGUCCAUGCCGUAAACGUUGGGCGCUAGAUGUAGGGACCUUUCCACGGUUUCUGUGUCGUAGCUAACGCAUUAAGCGCCCCGCCUGGGGGAGUACGGCCGCAAGGCUAAAACUCAAAGGAAUUGACGGGGGGCCCGCACAAGCGGCGGAGCAUGCGGGAUUAAUUCCGAUGCAACGCGAAGAACCUUACCAAGGCUUGACAUACACCGGAAACGGCCAGAGAUGGUCGCCCCCUUGUGGUCGGUGUACAGGUGGUGCAUGGUUGUCGUCAGCUCGUGUCGUGAGAUGUUGGGUUAAGUCCCGCAACGAGCGCAACCCUCGUUCUAUGUUGCCAGCGGGUUAUGCCGGGGACUCAUAGGAGACUGCCGGGGUCAACUCGGAGGAAGGUGGGGAUGACGUCAAAUCAUCAUGCCCCUUAUGUCUUGGGCUUCACGCAUGCUACAAUGGCCGGUACAAAGGGCUGCGAUACCGUAAGGUGGAGCGAAUCCCAAAAAGCCGGUCUCAGUUCGGAUUGAGGUCUGCAACUCGACCUCAUGAAGUCGGAGUCGCUAGUAAUCGCAGAUCAGCAACGCUGCGGUGAAUACGUUCCCGGGCCUUGUACACACCGCCCGUCAAGUCAUGAAAGUCGGUAACACCCGAAGCCGGUGGCCUAACCCU
rnacentral:rRNA from 1 species